rnacentral:rRNA from 1 species
GAUGAACGCUGACAGAAUGCUUAACACAUGCGAGUCUACUUGAUUCUACUUCGGUAGUUGAUGGUGGCGGACGGGUGAGUAACGCGUAAAGAAUCUGCCCUUUAGUUUGGGAUAACCUUUGGAAACGAAGGCUAAUACCGGAUAUUAUAGAGACGUCGCAUGGCGACUCCAUGAAAGCUAUAUGUCGCUAGAGGAGAACUUUGCGUCCCAUUAGUUAGUUGGUGAGGUAAUGGCUCACCAAGACCGCGAUGGGUAGCCGGCCUGAGAGGGUGAUCGGCCACAAGGGAACUGAGACACGGUCCUUACUCCUGCGGGAGGCAGCAGUGGGGAAUAUUGGACAAUGGGCCACAAGCCUGAUCCAGCAAUUCUGUGUGCACGAUGAAGGUCUUCGGAUUGUAAAGUGCUUUCAGUAGGGAAGAAAAAAAUGACGGUACCUACAGAAGAGGCGACGGCUAAAUAUGUGCCAGCAGCCGCAGUAAGAC